AACGAACGCUGGCGGCAUGCCUAACACAUGCAAGUCGAACGGGUACCUUCGGGUGCUAGUGGCGCACGGGUGCGUAACGCGUGGGAAUCUGCCCUUGGGUUCGGAAUAACUCAGCGAAAGCUGUGCUAAUACCGGAUGAUGUCGAAAGACCAAAGAUUUAUCGCCCGAGGAUGAGCCCGCGUUGGAUUAGCUAGUUGGUGGGGUAAAGGCCUACCAAGGCGACGAUCCAUAGCUGGUCUGAGAGGAUGAUCAGCCACACUGGGACUGAGACACGGCCCAGACUCCUACGGGAGGCAGCAGUGGGGAAUAUUGGACGAGGGGCGAUAGCAUGAUCCAGCAAUGCAGCGGAAGUGAUGAAGGCCUUAGGGUUGUAAAGCUCUUUUACCCGGGAUGAUAAUGACAGUACCGGGAGAAUAAGCUCCGGCUAACUCCGUG
rnacentral:rRNA from 1 species